CCUACGGGGGGCUGCAGUGGGGAAUAUUGCACAAUGGGGGAAACCCUGAUGCAGCGACGCCGCGUGAGUGAUGAAGUAUUUCGGUAUGUAAAGCUCUAUCAGCAGGGAAGAAAAUGACGGUAUCUGACUAAUAAGCCCCGGCUAACUACGUGCCAGCAGCCGCGGUAAUACGUAGGGGGCAAGCGUUAUCCGGAUUUACUGGGUGUAAAGGGAGCGUAGACGGCAGAGCAAGUCUGAAGUGAAAGCCCACGGCCCAACUGCGGGACUGCAUUGGAAACUGCCCGGCUAGAGUGCGGGAGAGGUAAGCGGAAUUCCUGGUGUAGCGGUGAAAUGCGUAGAUAUUAGGAGGAACACCAGUGGCGAAGGCGGCUUACUAGACAGUAACUGACGUUGAGGCUCGAAAGCGUGGGGAGCAAACAGGAUUAGAUACCCGGGUAGUC
rnacentral:rRNA from 1 species